rnacentral:snoRNA from 1 species
CAUAACGUUUCAAUGUCCUGUACUUUCCUUGUGAUAGCUGAGAUAUUUCAGACUUGCUAGAUACUGUAAGCCUUGGAGGUAAAUGAUCAGCGUGGCCAUUCUGUACCAACCCUGCAUAUCCUCUUCAUACAUCC